GGUCAGGGAGGGGAGGAAGGCAGAGGAAAGGGGCUGUGUACUUAGAUGACUCUCCUCAGGGAUCAUUACACACACACACACACACACACACACACACACACACACACACACACACACACACACACACACACACACACACACACACCUCUAAUCCUCUGCAGCUGGAUGGGAGAAGAGAAAACAUCAAUUACUCCAUUCAUGUGAAGAGAGGUUUACCACCAAUGACUCCAUUCGUGUGAAGAGGUUUACCACCAAUGACUCCAUUCAUGUGAGGAGAGGUUUACCACCAAUGACUCCAUUCAUGUGAAGAGAGGUUUACCACCAAUGACUCCAUUCAUGUGAAGAGAGGUUUACCACCAAUGACUCCAUUCAUGUGAAGAGAGGUUUACCACCAAUGACUCCAUUCAUGUGAAGAGAGGUUUACCACCAAUGACUCCAUUCAUGUGAAGAGAGGUUUACCACCAAUGACUCCAUUCAUGUGAAGAGGUUUACCACCAAUGACUCCAUUCAUGUGAAGAGGUUUACCACCAAUGACUCCAUUCAUGUGAAGAGAGGUUUACCACCAAUGACUCCAUUCACGUGAAGAGAGGUUUACCACCAAUGACUCCAUUCAUGUGAAGAGAGGUUUACCACCAAUGACUCCAUUCAUGUGAAUAGGUUUACCACCAAUGACUCCAUUCAUGUGAAGAGAGGUUUACCACCAAUGACUCCAUUCAUGUGAAGAGAGGUUUACCACCAAUGACUCCAUUCAUGUGAAGAGGUUUACCACCAAUGACUCCAUUCAUGUGAAGAGGUUUACCACCAAUGACUCCAUUCAUGUGAAGAGAGGUUUACCACCAAUGACUCCAUUCAUGUGAAGAGAGGUUUACCACCAAUGACUCCAUUCAUGUGAAGAGAGGUUUACCACCAAUGACUCCAUUCAUGUGAAGAGAGGUUUACCACCAAUGACUCCAUUCAUGUGAAGAGAGGUUUACCACCAAUGACUCCAUUCAUGUGAAGAGAGGUUUACCACCAAUGACUCCAUUCAUGUGAAGAGAGGUUUACCACCAAUGACUCCAUUCAUGUGAAGAGGUUUACCACCAAUGACUCCAUUCAUGUGAAGAGAGGUUUACCACCAAUGACUCCAUUCAUGUGAAGAGGUUUACCACCAAUGACUCCAUUCAUGUGAAGAGAGGUUUACCACCAAUGACUCCAUUCAUGUGAAGAGGUUUACCACCAAUGACUCCAUUCAUGUGAAGAGAGGUUUACCACCAAUGACUCCAUUCAUGUGAAGAGGUUUACCACCAAUGACUCCAUUCAUGUGAAGAGGUUUACCACCAAUGACUCCAUUCAUGUGAAGAGAGGUUUACCACCAAUGACUCCAUUCAUGUGAAGAGAGGUUUACCACCAAUGACUCCAUUCAUGUGAAGAGAGGUUUACCACCAAUGACUCCAUUCAUGUGAAGAGAGGUUUACCACCAAUGACUCCAUUCGUGUGAAGAGGUUUACCACCAAUGACUCCAUUCAUGUGAAGAGAGGUUUACCACCAAUGACUCCAUUCAUGUGAAGAGAGGUUUACCACUAAUGACUCCAUUCAUGUGAAGAGAGGUUUACCACCAAUGACUCCAUUCGUGUGAAGAGAGGUUUACCACCAAUGACUCCAUUCGUGUGAAGAGAGGUUUACCACUAAUGACUCCAUUCAUGUGAAGAGAGGUUUACCACUAAUGACUCCAUUCAUGUGAAGAGAGGUUUACCACCAAUGACUCCAUUCGUGUGAAGAGAGGUUUACCACCAAUGACUCCAUUCGUGUGAAGAGAGGUUUACCACUAAUGACUCCAUUCAUGUGAAGAGAGGUUUACCACUAAUGACUCCAUUCAUGUGAAGAGAGGUUUACCACCAAUGACUCCAUUCGUGUGAAGAGAGGUUUACCACCAAUGACUCCAUUCAUGUGAAGAGAGGUUUACCACCAAUGACUCCAUUCAUGUGAAGAGAGGUUUACCACCAGUGACUCCAUUCAUGUGAAGAGAGGUUUACCACCAGUGACUCCAUUCACAUGUUGGAGCUUUUACUGCUGUUUUACUGUGGU